rnacentral:rRNA from 1 species
UACAGAGGUCUCAAGCGUUGUUCGGAUUCAUUGGGCGUAAAGGGUGCGUAGGUGGCGCUGUAAGUCGGGUGUGAAAUUUCGGAGCUUAACUCCGAAACUGCAUUCGAUACUGCGAUGCUUGAGGACUGGAGAGGAGACUGGAAUUCAUGGUGUAGCAGUGAAAUGCGUAGAGAUCAUGAGGAAGACCAGUGGCGAAGGCGGGUCUCUGGACAGUUCCUGACACUGAGGCACGAAGGCCAGGGGAGCAAACGGG